AAAGCAUUCACUACACAAUCCCUAAUCUACAAAUGAUGUAGAUUAGCAAGUGUUUGGGCAAGAAACCCAGAAAUAUUUUUGCAGGAACAAGAGGAGAGUCCGAUAGUGUUACCUGAAUUAAUGCUCCAAGUGGCACUGGAGAAGCCAAAUGAUGAGGACAGCACUGAGAGGACUUAGGGGAGGCAAUAGAGAGAUGAGUGAGAGGAACAGAAUU
rnacentral:misc_RNA from 1 species